UGCAGGUCUGCAGACCAGAGUCACGAAUGGGCCAGUGGUUUACAGUCCCUGAUAAUGAGAGAUGGAACAGAAAAUUCCUCUAGGAAACUGAGAUGAGAUGUUAAUGAGUACUAAUUGAUCUCUGAGCUUCAUCGCAGGCCGGGAAAAACCAUGACACAGGAGUUAUUUUUUAUGUUGCAGACUUGCUUCUCCUUGUCAGAGUGAUCCCGCAAAGAUGACCUUAGUGAUGCAGAUACUGUGAAUUAAAAUCAUUUGUUCUGAAAGGUGGGACCAAGAUGUAAGCUUCAGGAAACGUUGCCUCAUCUACUUUCAAGGUGGGGCUUCCUCAUUAAAGUGCCUGUACGAUGUUUCUCCUUCCCAGAGAUGAAGGAUAAAAAAAGAAUAAAACCAUCAGGCAUUUUUGUUGAACUAUG